AUAAUCCUUAAAUCAGUAAAUUGUAAUAAAAUCAAUAUUUUAAUUGUUUUAAUUUCAGAGGUCAUUUUUCCACAAAAACAAGCUAAUAUAUGUCAACAUGGUCAAUGGGCCUGAUGAAGUUGAGUUUUUUUUUACUUUUGGGAGAAAUGGAACAUAUAUAAGUGAAGAAAAGUAGAAGAAAGGGGAAAAUAUUAGACACAGUACAUGGACACCAGCAUGAGCAAGUUAAGACAAGGUAUUAUGUUAUAUAGAAUAUAUAUAUAUAUAUAUAUAUGAAUGUUUUAUCAACUUGUGACCUCAACCAAUCAAAUUAUAUCACCACUAAAUGAAGUGGGUGGUAAACAGGAUUUUCCUUGACCAAAUUCACAUGUAAACAUUAAAAAAUAACAUAGAAAAUAUGAUAAACAAAUUCAAAUUACCACCUUAGCAAUUCAGCAAUUUUAUCGAUAAAAAAGUGUCACAAUGCCAUCAUCGCACUUCAGCUUAAUCAAAAUUUGCGCUACUGUGUUAAUCCAUUGCACAUCAGCCAAUAUUCAUGGUGCAGAAUUAAUGCUACAUGUGGGAUUACAAUGUUACUUUUGAAUUUCUUUGCCCUCAACAACAAAAAAGUAGUAAAAUUUAAAACAUAAUUAUUUUGCAAUUUGGAUUAUUAGGAAGUUUAUAUUAGUUAGACAAAACACAUUAAACAUGUACCUUUAUGCUUUAAAAAUGACAUGUAAAGUAUAUCAAACAAUUUUAACUAGAGAAAGGUGACAGUUGAGGAUGCAAACAGAAAUUGUAGUUAUUUGAGAAGAAAAAAAAAUCACUGUUUAAAUAGGUAUUCUGAUAUAUGUGAUUUUCAAUGGUUUUAACUUUUUAGUUCCCUUUGAAGGCUUUCUGUGGUCUGUCCAUCCAGUUUUCCUCACUUUUUUAUGCCCCUUUUAUAUGUAUGGGCAUUUGUUUCUCGGUUUGUGCAUUGGUUUCUCUGUCUGUCUUUCUUCAGGUUAAAAUUUUUGGUCAAAGUAGUUUUUGAUGAAGUUGAAGUCCAAUGAUAUGAUCUGUCUAAAUUUAAUGCCAAAUAAGAGCUUUGUUCCCAAUUUCAUGGUCACUGAACAAAGAAAAUGAUAGUGCAAGUGGGGCAUUCAUGAACUAGUCUAUGGACACAUUCUUGCAGGAAUUGUUUCUUCAUGCUUGAAGAUAUUGAUAUGAUAUUGUUUUAUCAUGACAAGUAACAGAUCCAGUUUAAUUUUUAGCUUACCUGGCCCGAAGGGCUAAGUGAGCUUUCUCAUCACUUGGCGUCCGUUGUUGUCCGUCGUCAUCGUUUAACAUUUUACAUUUUGAACUUCUUCUAGAGAACCACUGAAUGGAAUGAAACCAAACAUGGCAUGAAUGUUUCUUAUGAGGUGCUGACCAAGUGUUGUUACUUUGUAGCCGAUCCAUCAUUCAAGAUGGCCGCCAGUGGGGGACUUAGUUUAACAUAGGACCCUAUGGGAAAUGCAUACAAAUGACUUCUUUUAGAGAACCACUGAAUGGAAUGAAACCAAACAUAGCAUAAAUGUUCCUUUCUUAAUGAGGUGCUGGCCAAGUGUUGUUACUUUGUAGCCAAAUUUUAUCUUUUUUUUUUAUAUGAUUUCAAAAACCCAGGUAGAAUCAGGUGAGCGAUACAGGCUCUUGAGAGCCUCUAGUUUUUUCUGGUGUAAUGAUUUUGAGCAUAAUAAUGGUCCUUGGUCUUACAAAAUUCACUUAAAUAAUUAGUUUUCAACACUUUGAUUUGAUAUUUGUUAUAUAGUUUACACAUGUUACACCAUGACAAGUUAUACUGUGGAUUCAUUUAUUUUUGUGGGUACCAAUUUUCGUGGAUUGAGGAAACUUACAGGUUUGUGGAUAUUUAAUUUUCGUGGUUUUUGCUGAAGUCUGCAUACAAGCCAUAGGAAAAAUUGUCAUUCGUUGAACUUUUAAUUUCGUGGUUCAACUGUUCACACGAAAUCCACGAAAAUUGGUAUCCAACGAAUAAUAAUGAAUCCACAGUAGAUAAAGUUAGAAAUAUGUUCCAAUACAAUGAAAUUUAACUGGUAGGGGACUAUAUUAUAAGUAAUAUGGUUAGCUACUGACCCCUACAGAUCCAUAGAGGGUUAGUGAAAUCCAUAGGGGGGUGCGGCCAGAGGCCAAAUCCCCUAUUAAUUUUAUUCACCCUCUAUGGAUCUGUAGGGGGUCAGUAGUUAACCGUAUAACAAAUUUAUCGGACACGAGACUUUUGUUCUGCGUUCUGUUGAAAAAAUUAACAAUGAAAUACAACAACAUUAAUAGAUGACGUCAUCAUUAACGUGUCAUGGACCUCUUAUGAAACUGACUAACCCCAAACUGUCUCAUAGGGGUCACCACGUGACGGUGUUUAACCAAUCACAACGUGAUAAUUCAGCUGUGGUCCGAUAAAUUGUAAUGCAAUACUGACAGAAUGCUUGUAAAUAUACAGAUGUUCAUGUAUCACUGUAAGUAAUAAUAAUAUUAACCUUAAUUUGAUUAUUUUGCUUGUUUUAAAAUCAAAAUAUAUUGAUAGUUAGUUGCUGUUAUUAUAAAAUUUGCAUCUUGCAUUUAUUUCAGAAUCAGCCAUGGAAAGAAACUGUUAAAAGAAGAAAAAAAAGAUGAAGAAAUAGACUUUAACUUUUGUUACAUACAUGUAUAU
rnacentral:lncRNA from 1 species